ACAAAAUGCCUGCGUGUAUAAGCUACGAAAGAAUUUGGAAGCCCUGAAUAUGGUGGUACGAUGAGAUGUAAGGAGCCUAGGAUCCUGAAUGACCAUGUGGAGCAGCAGAGCCUUGCCCUUCACCCUGGGAACAAGUGAUGGGAUGUUUUGUUUUAGAGAGCUCCUAAGAUUUCUAGGAUCGUCAGUUAAAACUGCUAGUGUUACCUUCCCUAACACACAGACUUAGUGCCUAUUAGUUCUAAUGUUACUUUCAUAUUAUAUGGAAGUUAUGUCUUUAUGCAUCUAUCUCUUCCAGUACGUUACUGGGGAAAUUUCACAAAGAGAGACACUUUUCCCCCUAACCUGUAUGUUGGUCAAGAGAGACACAUUUUUCUGAUCAAAGAUUGUGUUUGGUAUACCAAGUGUUCAAUAAAUGUUUUUUGACCUAGAAACAUAUCAGUAGUAAAUACCAAUACUAAUAAUUAACAUGUAUUGGGUGCUUAUAUGAGAAAGGCACCGGCACUUACACUCAUUGCUUUAUAUAAUCCUCAUAAUUCACAAAUGUUACUUAAGUGCUUACCAUAUAUUGGUUUCUGUAGGAUGCAGUGGGUAUACAUUAGUGAACAAGACAGAUAAAAGUUCCUGUCUUCAUAAAGCAUAAAUAAUAGGUGAAAUGAUCAGAUAAAGAAGUGAGAAAAAAAUUAGAAUAUUAGGUGGUGAAAAGUGCAUUGGAGAAACAUGAAGUAGAGUAGGAUGAAGGAGGCUGAUAAGGGUUGGGGCAUGUUGCUAUUCUAAACAUGUGGCAACAGAAGACCUCCUAAAAAAGACAGC
rnacentral:lncRNA from 1 species